rnacentral:lncRNA from 1 species
UUCGUAUUUUAGUCUACUACAACUUUCAUUUAGAUUACUCCCAUUAAAAAAUAAUAUAUUUUUACUUACCAUUUUUAUAUCCAUACCCGGUGGCAGAUUUAAUAUGGUCCCAGUGUUGCACCGACAACACCUGUUUUUUCUGUUCGUAGUGGAAAAAUUUUCGCUUUAUUUAUUACGCUUAUACCGAUUUUUCGUGUAUCAGCAACACCUAUUUCAUCUCGGCAACACCUACUAUGUAUUACUGCGUCUUCCCCUGUCCAUACGUUUUUUAUGAAUGCAUGUAUGUUUGUUUUUUUAUAAAAUCGUUAGUAAAAAUAUAUUACAUUUUAACGGGGGUAAUCUUAAUGAAAGUUGUAGUAGACUCAAAAAAUGAACAAUGUGGAUAAAGAUCCUUAAAAUCUGAUAUCGUAUGAAGAAAUUAUGAUGUUCAAAAUACAAGACCUAAGCCAAACCACAAGACUUACGCAACCAAACAGUCGAGAUCGCAUUGGACAUAAGCAUCAACAACUCCAAGCACCUCAUUAAUGAUUAUCUUACGUAAGAUGUCGUGAAAAAAAACCUAAAGAAAUCAUUCAUAAGUACUGAAUGAGUACAAAAAAUGACUUAUUUUAAAACAAAACAAAAAAUUUAAGG